rnacentral:rRNA from 1 species
GAUGGGGAGCGAAAUUUAGUAGCGAAGUAGCUGAUUUCACACUGUCAAGAAAAGUCUCUAUCGAGGUUAAAGGUACCCGUACCGCAAACCGACACAGGUGGGUGAGGAGAGUAUCCUAAGGCCAGCGAGAGAACUGUUGUUAAGGAACUCGGCAAAAUGACCCCGUAACUUAGGGAUAAGGGGUGCCACCAUCAGGUGGCCGCAGAGAAUAGGCCCAAGCGACUGUUUACCAAAAACAUAGGUUUCUGCUAAGUCGCAAGACGAUGUAUAGGAGCUGACGCCUGCCCGGGGCUGGAAGGUUAAGGGGAUCUGUUAGAGCAAUCGAAGCAGUGAACUUAAGCCCCAGUAAACGGCGGCCGUAACUAUAACGGUCCUAAGGUAGCGAAAUUCCUUGUCGGGUAAGUUCCGACCCGAACGAAAGGCGUAACGAUUUGGGCACUGUCUCAACAACAGACUCGGUGAAAUUGUAAUUCCGGUGAAGAUGCCGGAUACCUGCGACAGGACGGAAAGACCCCAUGGAGCUUUACUGUAGCUUGACAUUGGGUCUUGGUACUACAUGUACAGGAUAGGUGGGAGGCUUUGA